GAAAUGCGAUAAGUAAUGUGAAUUGCAGAAUUCAGUGAAUCAUCGAAUCUUUGAACGCACAUUGCGCCCGCCAGUAUUCUGGCGGGCAUGCCUGUUCGAGCGUCAUUUCAACCAUCAAGCCCCGGGCUUGUGUUGGGGACCUGCGGCUGCCGCAGGCCCUGAAAACCAUUGGCGGGCUCGCUGUCACACCGAGCGUAGUAGAUUCUCAUCUCGCUCAGGGCGUGCUGCGGGUUCCGGCCGUAAAACAGCCUUAUUUUACCCAAGGUUGACCUCGGAUCAGGUAGGAAGACCCGCUGAACUUAAGC
rnacentral:misc_RNA from 1 species